rnacentral:rRNA from 1 species
GAAACUUAAAGGAAUUGGCGGGGGAGCACUACAACCGGAGGGAGCCUGGGGGUUUAAUUGGACUCAACGCCGGACAUCUCACCAGCCCCGACUGUUCGAAUGAAGCUCAGUGUGAUGAGCUUAGCAGACGAUCAGAGAGGAGGUGCAUGGCCGCCGUCAGCUCGUACCGUGAGGCGUCCUGUUUAGUCAGGCAACGAGCGAGACCCGCAUCCUUAAUUGCCAGCAAGACCCUUGAGGUCGUUGGGUACAUUAGGGAGACUGCCGCCCCCAAGGCGGAGGAAGGAACGGGCAACGGUAGGUCAGUAUGCCCCGAAUGGGCUGGGCUACACGCGGGCUACAAUGGUCAGGACAAUGGGUUCCUACUCCGAAAGGAGACGGUAAUCUCAGAAACCUGGUCGUAGUUCGGAUUGUGGGCUGAAACUCGCCCACAUGAAGCUGGAUUCGGUAGUAAUCGCGUGUCACAAGCGCGCGGUGAAUACGUCCCUGCUCCUUGCACACACCGCCCGUCAAAGCACCCGAGUGAGGUCCGGAUGAGGCCUGGGUUGCCAGGUCGAAUCUGGGCUUCGCAAGGGGGCUUAAGUCGUAACAA